CGGCAACAGCUCAAAUUUGAAAUCUGGAGCCUUCGGCUUCCGAGUUGUAAUUUGAAGAGGAUGUUUCGGUGCGGCCUGGGCCUAAGUUCCUUGGAACAGGACGUCAUGGAGGGUGAGAAUCCCGUACAUGGCUGCAGGCUUGCUUCUAUGUGAAACUCCUUCGAA
rnacentral:rRNA from 1 species